GGUCAAACAUAUACUACUAGUUGGUCAGAACAGAUAUUCUAUACUCUGUGCACUUUGCCUGGCAGGUGUACACUUGCCUCUGCACAGCUUUGACGCUUAUUAGACAGUUCAAGUUUGUUGUACCUGCCACACUCUCUGCAAUUUUAAGGCCUUUAAGGUAUACUAAAAGUCACUGCUUUGAGGAGCUUAGAAAAAGAAGUGAAGAGUAACUGAAUUCUGACAGUGUCUCUCUCACUUCUCUCUCUCUCUCCAAAUCCUAAGGGGUGAUCCUAGUAUAAGUUACCCCUGAAGGAGAUACACACUAUCCUCAGGCCCUAUCCAAACUUCCUUACUGGCUCCAGGCCCAUAAUGGGAAUAAAAAAACAGCUAUGUUCAGAGUAAAAUUGCAAGAAAUCCAGAAAUUAAAAAACCAAAAACACAAAAGGAACUCAAGAUCUUGCCCAAUAAAGCAGAAACUAGGUAGCACAUAAGGGGGUGGAUCCUUACCAUAUUAGAUUAGGAAGGAUGAAUUAUGUUUGGAUAGGCUCAAAUUAAUCAAUAUGAGUAUACUCCCUGUGGACUCAGGAGCAGCCCAUGUUGCAUUUCAAAGCAAUGAAAUAUGUAUUUCCUCUAAUGGGAUACUGACAAAUGUUUUUUAAAACUCUUAGAGUGUUUCUCAUGUGCAGCCAUCUUUUGUGGUGACAUGGAGCACCUGUGCAGACCCUCAGUAGAAUCUGCACACUGGGCCCCAGGCGCGCCAGGAUGGGGCUCAGGGGUUGGUGGGUCCGGCGGCUGUAAAGGAACAGGGUGGAGGUCCCAGGUUGAAAAAUUGUAAAAUUAUAAUUUUACAGCUAUAUAAUUUAACUACUUCAGUCAUCAUGUCUUUUUCUUUUUACAAAGUCAAUUUUCCUAUAUAACUCCAAAUUUUUUUCACACCAUCUAAGUAAUAUUUUAAUAUUUUCCAUAUCCAAUCCGUAUUUAAAUUUCCCCAAUUACCUCCAAAUGACUUAUGAAAAAAAUGCUAUUUUAAUCGGGAGCCAAUAGAGGAUUACCCUUUGCAUUUGACAGCAGAGUUCAGGCUUAACCCUUAACCUCUUCAGGCUCGGAGGACCCUGGGCAGGAGAGAUUUAAGAACACCGUCCCCCCGCUUUCGCGGAAAGGCCAAGAGUGACUUGAAAUGUAGACGCGGAGGCCUAUGGGAAAUGCAGUUUUAAAUAGGUGAGGUUCACCGCCUGGACUCUGGGAAGGGGACGCCACGCUCCUUCUGCGCAUGUGCAGCCGUAGCCUCCUCGUUUGUCUUCUCAGGACUCCAGAGAACCGUUGGGGAACUUUGGGGUGUGCUCGGAAAAUGCAGGGUGCGCACCUAGGGCGAGGGACUAGCUGGGAAGGGUGUGCCUGUGCUUGGGGAUGGGAGCAGGAAGUGUCUGGGACCUCGUCGCCCCCCGCGGCGGUGUAUAAACCCGGGCGGGCCGUCAGAGUGGUUAAGGCCGAUGGGGGAGACCCCGGCCCUCGGGAUCCCGGGGCGCAGGUGUUCGGGGCGGUCCGGGAUGCCCGAGGAUCGUGUGACCAGCCCGCCUGCAGCCCGACCGGAGAGAAGCCCGUGUCGGCGGCGGUGGGUGCGGGAGGGAGGAGUGCGUUUAUCAGGCGGACGGUGACCCGUGGGUCUGCGGUGGAGCCCGAGCUCUGGAGCACUACAGGCCCGGUCAGUGCCAGCUCUGUCACCUGUAAGCAGGGGCGACAGAAGGAACCUGGGCGAGAGUCAGGGUUCUCAUCUAUAAAUAUUAAUAAUGAUUGUUUCACGGCGGCGUUUGGAAACAUAGAUCACUAUUUUAGACAAGUGCCAGGUAGGAAGCCUUAAGUAAGUGACAACUGCUGUUAUAGUUAGAGGACACUUUGUUUUUUGACUGGAUAGUUUAAUGUACCCUGACAACCACUUCACCAGAAACCGAGGCUCGGGUCGGUGGCCCGAUGUGCUCGAGUCAGGAGCUCCCAGCCAGGGAAUUUGGAUUCGAGGGCAGGUGUGCUUCGCUUCAGUCUCAGGCUUUGUCUGAUGUCACACCUGCCCAAGACUGGCAUUACAGCCUUCACAGCACUUAGGAACAUGGCCUGUCCCUGCAUCCCCAGGGAUGUAAAGGAAAGGAUGUGGAUGGAAUCCCACCGUGUGUCACAUGCAUCCUGGGAUUUCUAGUGUCUCUUCAGGUCCCUUGGGUCAGACAGAGGUGCCUGGCCCCCUCUGCAUUGUCAUGCUUUCUGUCCUUGAAGUCUAACGUUAUAAUGAAUUCCAAGAGUCAGGCUUUUUGCCCCUAAGAUGAAUUUAUUUCUCAGAUCCAUGUCCCAGUUGCCUUGAAACAAACCAGCCCUUGUGAGGCAGGAAGCAGGGGGCCUCUGUGAGGGAGUCUUACCUGGAAGAGAGCGCCCCUCUGACCUUAGACCUCUCUCCAGAGCUUCAGAGCAGAGACAAGAGCCCAGAAAGGAGCAGAUGCUAGAUUUGCAAGAUCAGAAGCAGGUCUUGAUCCUCCUGCCCAGAAUGGGCCAGACUUGAUGAUGAUGCCACCUUCAGGAGCCACCACACUGUGUGACAGUGGGGCAUUUGGGCCGUCCCUGGGAAGUACAGGUGAGCUUGGGUGGCCCAGGGGCAGGCUGCUCAGGAAAGGCUGCUUUGUUGGAGAGCCGUGAGGGCAAGGUCUGGGGGUAAGGGACAACCAGGCAGAGGGAGGAAGUUCUGUCUCCAGUCCCCUUAAAUGGCCCCCGCUAUUUACAGAUGCGCUGCUGUCACACAUGUCCACCACCACAUGUGACAUUAGUGACGUUAUCCUGAUCUCACAGGAUCCAAGAAUGAUGAUCUGUGAAGAGUUUUCCAAGGUCACCUACUUCUAACUCUUUUGAAAGAUUUAAAGACAUGGGGCCUGAAAAUUUCAGUGACUUGUCCAGGGAAACGCAGUUUGUGACAGUUCACUCUCUCACAGCUGAACCACAGUCCUCUGUACUCGCCCAGGAGCCACAGAAAGUGAACAUCCCUCAGGUAUGAAGGUCUUCUUGAGCAUUUCCUGUUUGGGGUGUCUUGUGGUGAUGAACUACCUCAGCUUUUGUUUAUGUGGGAAAGUUUUUAUUUCUCCACCAUAUCUGUAGGAUAUUUUUCCCUGGAUAGAGUAUUCUCGGCUGAAGGUUUUUGUCUUUCAGAAUUUUGAAUAUCUGAUUCUACCUUCUCAUAGCCUGUAAAGAUUCUGCUGAGAAAUCUCCUGAAAGUUUGAUAUGGUCUUUGUAAGUUAUUUUCUUCUGCCUUGCUGCCUUUAAAACUAUUUCUUCUUUGUCACUGACUUUUGCCAGUUUUACUACUCUAUGCCUUGGAGUAGGUCUUUUUACAUUGAUGUAAUCAGAAGUUCUGUUAGCGUCUCUUACUUGUAAUUCCAGCUCCUUUCCCAGGUUUGAACAGACUUUCUGCUCCUUUCUCCCUCCCUUCUCCCUCUAUAAUACCCAUAGUUUUUAUGUUGCAUUUCCUAAUUGAAUCAGAUAUUUCUCAGAGAAUUUCUUCGUUUCUUUUUAGUCUUAAUUCUCUCUCCUCCUCCAUCUGAAGCCUUUCUAUAUUUCAGUCCUCCAGAUUGCUAAUUCCGUCUUCCAUAAUGUCAGCUCUGUAAUUCAGGGUAUCCAGAUUUUUCUUUAUCUCAUUGUGUUUUUCAUCUCCAACCUUUCUGAUUGGUUUCUCUUUAUAGGGUCAAUCUCUUUUGUGAAGUAUUCCCUCUGUUUAUUAAUUUUAUUCCUGAUUUAAUUGAACUGUCUGAAUUUUCUUGUAACUCGUUGAGUUUUUUAAUGUUAGCUAUUUUGAAUUCUCUCUCGUUUACAUUGUAAAUUUGUGUGCCUUCAGGAUUGAUUUCUAGGUGCUUUUCAUUUUCCUUCUGGUCUGGACUAUUAAUAUAUUUCUUCAUACUAUUUGAUGGGGUUGGUUUGUGCCUUCACAUAGAUAGUAUCUGGUUGCAG
ensembl:lncRNA